UAAAAAUAAUUAUUUUUAAUUUUAAUUACUUGAAAUGAUACAGAGAAGAUUAGCAUAGCCCCUGUGUAAGGAUGACAGGAAAAAAAAUACUGUGUUUGAAAUGUUU
rnacentral:snRNA from 1 species